UUUCAACUGGGGCAAAUGAAGAAAAAUUCAAAAUUAAACCUGCCCCUUUCAGGGGGUCGAGUCACAUGGGAAUUUAGGUGCUGUUCAUGGCUCAGUGGUGGUCGCCUGACACCCGGUAUCCAAGGACACCUUUAUCCAGUAGAUAUUUUAGCAAGUAAUCCUGAGGUUAUCCAAGAAGCAGCUGAGGCCUACUAUGAAAAACUUUUGCAGCAAGCUUCAUCAUCUCCUGAGUUUUUUUCCAUUCCUGGUGAAGAGAAGGUUAAACUUGAAGAUUCCUGUAUGUGUUUCCUUCCUGUGUACCGAGAAGACCCAAAAUAUAAAAUUUUGGUGUUAACAGAUCCACAGGAUAAAGAAAGAGUUUUGGCAAUUUACCUUAACCAGUCCUGGUGGCCCAUUGAAGAUAUAGUGAAGACUGCUGAUUCCUCUAGAGAAGGGCUUAUACAGGUCCAAACAUUUGGAGAAAGGAUUGUCCUCUUUGUUCUCAACUACAUUAUUUUUGGAAUGUUAGAAAGGAGUUCAGCUAAUGAUACAUUCUUUGUAUCUCAUUCCGCCCAGGAGUCUGCCAAAAUAUUCUGGAGGAAAGGAGAUGCUGUUGCCUUUUACACAGUCAAAAUGAAAGGAAGCCUGUGUGAUGUUAACUCCUGUCAAUGCUACCUGCUCCCAGUUCUGGAUACUGUAUUUGUCCGGAGAAAAUACAGAAGGUGCGGCCUAGGGAUGAAAAUUCUGCAUGAUUUCUGUCAAUCUUUUGGGACCGAAGAUGCCUUGGGGAUCAGCUUCCCUAUUUCUGCUGACAUGUACCAAGUUUGCCAGAAAUUCUUGCAGACCCAUCCAGAGGAGCAGGAUCGACUGUGGGAGGUGGAAGCACCAGGGGACUGGAGCCAGCGUGUUAGUAUCUGGUUAAAGAUUCAGCUGGAAACUGCCCUUUCAGAAAAAAACACAGUUAGUCAGACUGCUUCAGAGGAGGAAGGAGGCUGUCAUGUAGAGGGAGCUCAGGAUGAUGAACCCAUAUGCUUAGAUGCAGGCCCGAUGAAUGAGGGAGGCGAAUGCAUUCCUGAUAUUAGGAAAGUGGCACAAGAAGCCAGAGAUGACAAAGGUAACACAGCAGGAGAAGCAAGGACAUUACACCUGCAAAUUCCCAAGGAGGAGGACUUUAGUCAAGGUACAGCUGAUACGCGGCAAUGUAAGGGAUCUAGGAAAAGAGCAAGGACUAUGGGCCUGCUGGAAGACAAGACUGCUAAGCAUCUCCGAAUGAUGCCUUAAUUCCCUCACUCAAGGAGCAAGAUCCACUGUGCCGUCAUAAAAGGCUAAAAUAAUAGACUAAAAUAGUCAUAAUCUCUAACCACACUGAGAUUUCUCCAGAUUAGUUACAAGGGUUUUGCAAGGCAAAUAUUCAGAAUCUUUUAAAAAAAAUAAAAAUAAACUAUUGUUCUUUUAAUUGUUCUUUUCUUUUGUUUCCUUCCAAGAAAUUAAAUAGUAGUCGAGCCUAGUUAUUUCCCUGCUUUGGAAAGAUUUUAAUGGAUCGUGUAAGAUGUCUAGAAAGGAGGAAUUAGGUGACUUGUAGAUACUGAUGUAAGAAGAUAUUUCUAUGGAAACAACUUCCUGUAUUAUGCAAGGGAGAUACCGCAACACAGGUUUUGUACGGUACUCAUUACUCUAGUGUCUGAGCACAUCAUAUGCAGUAAUGGAUUUAUCUUCACAACAUUUCAAAAAGGUAG